rnacentral:rRNA from 1 species
GUAGUCCACGCCAUAAACGAUGUGUGCUAGCUGGUGGGUAGCUUAGCUAUUCGCUGGCGCAGCUAACGCAUUAAGCACACCGCCUGGGAAGUACGGCCGCAAGGUUAAAACUCAAAGGAAUUGACGGGGACCCGCACAAGCGGUGGAGCAUGUUCUUUAAUUCGAAGCAACGCGAAGAACCUUACCUACACUUGACAUACCAGGACGGUUACCAGAGAUGGUUUCUUUCCCGCAAGGGACUUGGAUACAGGUGCUGCAUGGCUGUCGUCAGCUCGUGUCGUGAGAUGUUGGGUUAAGUCCCGCAACGAGCGCAACCCUCGUCGUAUGUUGCCAACAGGUAAUGCUGGGAACUCAUAUGAGACUGCCGGUGACAAGCCGGA